CCUCUCCUAAAAUGGUUUGAUAUAAAGAAAAGUAAAUUAAAAAAAGAGAAAACAAAAGGCUAGCUAGAGAGAGGAGAAAAUAUAUAAUCAUAUAACUCACUUUAUUCAUCUCAUAAUCUCUGCAUUUUGCAAGGAGAUCGAAACUGAGCAAAACAUACGUACACAAAGACAGAGAAAUAAAAUAUAGGGUACAAACAAUAUCAAUAGCUUAGACAACAUGAAGCUACAAAAGAACUUCGCCUCCUGUGGGGCUUAUUAUUUACUCUUUUUUUUCUUCUUCUUUUCUCAUUGCCUCUCGAAAUUGGGAAAAGCCUUUUCUUUUAGCUCAACAUUAUGCUUUUCCUGCAUAAGAAUAUACAUUGUGUGCUUAGGUUCUUAGUAAUAUCAAAAGAAACUGAAAAUUCUGAACAGCUAAUAACUGAUAAAUGAAGCUAAGAAAACAAGAAGCAGAGAGCGCAGUUCUUUAUAUUAUAUUAAUGUUUUGCAUGAACACAGUUAUAUAUGCAAUUUGCUUUGCAUUCUUGACAUAUCAUUUGGAAAAUGUCUUAAUUAAUUUGGCUUAAUUACCUUCAACUUCGUGAUGUUACUUCUUAGUAGUGGUAGGGAGGAGGAGGAGAAGCGUAAAGAUAGGGGUGGUGUGGUGCUGGAGACUUGUAGACUGGAGUUGGUGGUGGAGGUGACUUGUAAACAGGAGUUGGUGGUGGUGGAGACAUAUAAACUGGUGCAGGAUGGUAUGGUGUUGGUGAAGGAUGGUAUGGCUUCACUGGUGGCGGUGGUGACUUGUAAACUGGUGCAGGAUGAUACGGUGUUGGUGAAGGGUGGUAUGGCUUCUUGGGUGGUGGUGGUGACUUGUAAACGGGAGCUGGUGGUGGUGGCGACUUGUAAACUGGUGUGUGUGGAGGGUAGUAUGGCUUCUUGGGUGGUGGUGGUGACUUGUAAACUGGAGUUGGUGGUGGUGGUGACUUGUAAACCGGGGUGUGUGGAGGGUAGUAUGGCUUCUUGGGUGGUGGUGGCGACUUGUAAACUGGAGUUGGUGGUGGUGGAGACUUAUAAACCGGGGUGUGUGGAGGGUAGUAUGGCUUCUUGGGUGGUGGUGGCGACUUGUAAACUGGAGUCGGUGGUGGUGGAGAUUUGUAAACAGGGGUGUGUGGAGGGUAGUAUGGUUUCUUGGGUGGCGGCGGUGACUUGUAAACCGGAGUUGGUGGUGGUGGCGACUUGUAAACUGGGGUGUGUGGAGGGUAGGAUGGCUUCUUGGGUGGUGGUGGUGACUUGUAAACGGGAGUUGGUGGUGGUGGCGACUUGUAAACCGGGGUGUGUGGAGGAUAGUGUGGCUUCUUGGGUGGUGGUGGUGACUUGUAAACUGGAGUUGGUGGUGGUGGAGAUUUAUAAACGGGUGCAGGAUGAUAUGGUGUUGGUGAAGGGUGGUAUGGCUUCUUAGGUGGCGGUGGAGACUUAUAUACAGGGUGGUGGGGUGGUGAUGGAUAGACAUGCACUGGUGGAAGAGGAGACUUGUAGAGGUAUGGUUUCUUAGGUGGUGGUGGAGAUGAGUAUUGAUAAUUUGCUGAGCUUUCAGAAGCUAAGCUAAGUGACACUAAAACUACAAAAAGAGUGGCAAAUAGAGAAGCCAUUUUCCCCAUCUUUGAAACAAAUGAGAAAAGUUGUUGUCUUCUUAAGCUUCACUACGACCCCUUUAUAUAGCUUUCAUUUAGACAAUUACCCUUUU
rnacentral:lncRNA from 1 species